GACCCCUUAGCUCAGCGGUAGAACAUCUGAUUCCAGUGACCAUGGCGUCGAGGAAUCCAGAAGGUCGUCCGUUCAAUCCGGGCAGGGAUCA